GGGAACCUGCGGAAGGAUCAUUACCGAGUGUAGGGUUCCUAGCGAGCCCAACCUCCCACCCGUGUUUACUGUACACUUAGUUGCUUCGGCGGGCCCGCCAUUCAUGGCCGCCGGGGGCUCUCAGCCCCGGGCCCGCGCCCGCCGGAGACACCACGAACUCUGUCUGAUCUAGUGAAGUCUGAGUUGAUUGUAUCGCAAUCAGUUAAAACUUUCAACAAUGGAUCUCUUGGUUCCGGCAUCGAUGAAGAACGCAGCGAAAUGCGAUAACUAGUGUGAAUUGCAGAAUUCCGUGAAUCAUCGAGUCUUUGAACGCACAUUGCGCCCCCUGGUAUUCCGGGGGGCAUGCCUGUCCGAGCGUCAUUGCUGCCCAUCAAGCACGGCUUGUGUGUUGGGUCGUCGUCCCCUCUCCGGGGGGGACGGGCCCCAAAGGCAGCGGCGGCACCGCGUCCGAUCCUCGAGCGUAUGGGGCUUUGUCACCCGCUCUGUAGGCCCGGCCGGCGCUUGCCGAACGCAAAUCAAUCUUUUUCCAGGUUGACCUCGGAUCAGGUAGGGAUACCCGCUGAACUUAAGCAUAUCAA
rnacentral:rRNA from 1 species